CAGGACUGGGACUACAAGCCGCAGUCCCCAGAUUCUCCGUCCGGGAAACCAUCAGCAAAUUAUAAAUGUCGGACUUUCAAUGCUUUCCUUCGAAAUCUGACACUCAUUCGGCAGCGACAGUUGACUGAACUUGUAGACAAUGUGAUUUGAAACCUCAAUACAGGAGCAUGGAUUAAACUUUCUUUAAAAAACACAUCUGUAAAUAAAGAACCUGUUAUCAGCAAAA